GCAGAAGUCAGGCGUUUGUGUACUCUUCUUAAACUUACUGUAUUGUGAUGAAAAUAGAAGCGUUCUUUCUCUUUCUUCCUGAUGUUCUCGAACGGCUCCAUAAUAAUUUUUAGAUGAGCGACAUAAUGUAUGUGACAAAUGGAUAAACUGUGAUCUGUGGAAGAGUUAACCCAUAUUUUAGAGCCCUAGGAAGGAAGCAAUGGCAAACUUCUUACGAAAAACUUUGCCAAGAAAACUGCAGGACUUGUCUGGGCAGUCUCUGAGAAUUGGACAGGAUUGAACAGAAAAAAUAUAUUAAGUGUGUUGCAUCUUGUUUACAUAAAAGUGAACCAGUUUGAUGAAGUGAUUAAGGCACCAGACUAGAAACUGGGAGAUGAUGUUUUGGAAGCAGAAACAUAGGAAUGGCUGAAGUAAAUGAAUAUGAAGAGUUCUUCAUUUGAAGUGUUAUGCACUAGGGCAGGGGUAGGCAACCUUGGCUCUUUUAUGACUCGUGGACUUCAACUCCC